rnacentral:lncRNA from 1 species
CCCUUCUCCCAAUCUUUCAGGUACUUCAUAUUAUCAACCAAACCAUUCUUUAUAGAUAGCAAAGCUGAGAAGUAACCAACCAUAUGGAUUUAACAAAACCUUAAUACCUCUUUCUCCCCCGUUAACUGUUCAACUUACCUCACAAUCUCAAGAAACUUGACUUAGUACAGCUUCAAAUGCAUCUUUACAGUUCAUUGAUAUUUGAUACCUAUGUUGUAGUACAUCAAGAUUUACAAAGUGGACGGGACCUUUUGUGUUGUGUCUGCUGGACAUUGAAG